rnacentral:lncRNA from 1 species
AGAGAGAAUUCUUUUAUUUUAUUGUUAUAUUUAAAAAAAUAAUUGGUUGAUUCCUUUUAACUAAUUUAUUAUAUCUUUUUCUUUUCUUCUCUUAUUUUAGGAGUGGGUGAGACUGGAUGGAUGCUGAAUUCCCUUUUGACUCUGAAACUCUGCACAUCUGUGAUCCUAUUUGUACCUGGAAGGAACAUUAGUGGCCCCUGAGUCCAUUACUUUUAUUUCAUAGAUGAGGAAACUGAGAUGCAGAAGAGCUGAAAUGACUUAUUCAAGGAUACAUCAGGAGCACGUGGCAGGGCUGGAAUGAUUUGUCCUGGGAUCAUAGAGAACUAAAUCCUCAUCACAAACUAAGCAUGUGACACCUUGCGUUGUAUUCAUUUCCGAGCAUGUCUGACCUCACUACCACACCAGAACUUCCAGAUGAUGCCUUACCUAAGCUACGUCUUUGCCAGUACAGGAGGCAGUACAAUGCUCUGCACCACUAGAAAAAAGUGCUUUCCCCUCGGAGGACUGGCUGCAAGAUGCUGAGCACGUGGACA